ACGGAAGGCAGCAGUGGGGGAUAUUGCACAAUGGGGGAAACCCUGAUGCAGCGACGCCGCGUGAGUGAUGAAGUAUUUCGGUAUGUAAAGCUCUAUCAGCAGGGAAGAAAAUGACGGUACCUGACUAAGAAGCACCGGCUAAAUACGUGCCAGCAGCCGCGGUAAUACGUAUGGUGCAAGCGUUAUCCGGAUUUACUGGGUGUAAAGGGAGCGUAGACGGCAAGACAAGUCUGGAGUGAAAUUCCGGGGCUCAACCCCGGAACUGCUUUGGAAACUGUUUAGCUGGAGUAUCGGAGAGGUAAGCGGAAUUCCUAGUGUAGCGGUGAAAUGCGUAGAUAUUAGGAGGAACACCAGUGGCGAAGGCGGCUUACUGGACGAUAACUGACGUUGAGGCUCGAAAGCGUGGGGAGCAAACAGGAUUAGAUACCCUGGUA
rnacentral:rRNA from 1 species